rnacentral:rRNA from 1 species
UACGUAGGGUGCAAGCGUUGUCCGGAAUUAUUGGGCGUAAAGAGCUUGUAGGCGGUUUGUCGCGUCUGCUGUGAAAUUUCGGGGCUCAACCCCGGGCCUGCAGUCGAUACGGGCAGACUAGAGUGCGGUAGGGGAGACUGGAAUUCCUGGUGUAGCGGUGAAAUGCGCAGAUAUCGGGAGGAACACCAGUAGCGAAGGCGGCACUCUGGGCCGGUACUGACGCUGAGGAGCGAAAGCGUGGGGAGCAAACAG